rnacentral:rRNA from 1 species
UACGUAGGGUGCAAGCGUUGUCCGGAAUUAUUGGGCGUAAAGCGUCCGCAGGUGGCUAUUCAAGUCUGCUGUCAAAGCUCGGAGCUUAACUCCGAAUCGGCGGUGGAAACUGAACAGCUAGAGUGCAGUAGGGGUAGAGGGAAUUCCCAGUGUAGCGGUGAAAUGCGUAGAGAUUGGGAAGAACACCGGUGGCGAAAGCGCUCUACUGGACUGCAACUGACACUCAGGGACGAAAACUAGGGGAGCGAAUGGG